rnacentral:rRNA from 1 species
UACGUAGGGGGCAAGCGUUGUCCGGAAUCAUUGGGCGUAAAGCGCGUGUAGGCGGCCCGGUAAGUCCGCUGUGAAAGUCGGGGGCUCAACCCUCGAAAUGCCGGUGGAUACUGUCGGGCUAGAAGUGCGGGAGAGGCGAGUUGGAAUUCCUGGUGUAGCGGUGAAAUUGCGCAGAUAUCUAGGAGGAACACCAAUUGCGAAGGCAGCUCGCUGGAACGUAACUGACGCUGAGACGCGAAAGCGUGGGGAGCAAACAGG